GAGUGAAAAGCUGAGCAACACUUGUGCCGUCCAGUGCGACGUGCCACUAAUGGCGUGUGUGCAUGUGUGUACUCCUUCACGUGCUGCAAGCUAUGAGGGUUGUGUGUCUUGGCUGCUGGCCAUGUGUAUUCCUUGUGAGGCUGUUUGUGUUAGUGAUAGACCACAGUGUGAGCUUAUUGCGUUGACAACACAGUGUUAUAAAUGGAUGCGGUGGCAUCCAUGCUUGAGGUAUACUUCGGUAUGUGGACAUUUAUUUGCUGCUUUCGGCUGGAUCCCUGUGUGACAACAGAGUGCGUGCAGUUUUUGUACCUGGGUGUGUACCUCUUCUGGUGCUUGCUGCACAAGUGUGGCAUUGCCAUGUUAUUACCCAAGACUAACUGCUCUUAUGCACCUGAGUUGCACAUAUAUUACAGUCACACCUGUCGACACCAAUGCCCAUGACAGAACCAGCACAGUGCAGCUUCUUGCAAAGUCAUUGCUAUGGCAACCGGUCCCAUCACGAGAGAAAGAAGAAGUGCGGUUUCCCUGUGACAUCUGCCACAAAGACUUUUCAACAGCUUACACUAUGCGACGGCACCGUGUCAUUCACAACCCCAAUUUUCUAAAGCACCAGUGUGACUUCUGUCCUCGAAGGUUCAACUGGAUCGACAACCUGCGCUCUCACAUGCAAGGUGUGCAUGGUGUUGUCUUGCAGCAAGGCCAGAGGGGCCGGCCGAGAUGUCGUAACCGGGGCAGCCCUGAUCAUCACACAUCGAGUUGAAUGGAAGGCUUUGCUUGGAUUUUUGAUGCUCGUCUUCAGUGAGUGUGCUAUGUGAGCAGUGCAGUGGUAAGUUCUGAAUGUGUACCUUUUCUUUUUUUAACUCCUUUGAGGUAGAGGCCAUGAGUGAGAGCCACACAUUGUUACACAAACCUUUUCCUUUUCAUUUGUCCACAUUAAGGAUGCACAUUGUGUUUUGAAUGUGUGUAAUGCCUGACAUUAAGAAGUGGACAUUUGUUGCCAUUAGUCACUUGCAAAAUAAUGCAAGGGGAGGAAGAGAUCUCAACACAUGGCUGCUGAGAAUGAGGUGACCCAACAUUUUAUGAAGUACUUCAUAAACAUUUAUUGCCUGCACCCCAUGUUUCAGUCAGCUUUGUUGACACAUACCAGUGUAACCUUGCAAGUACUGGAUACACAUGAGCUUUUUUGCACUUGUCAGUUUGUUUAUGAUAUUAGCACAUGUCUAUUGAUGCCAAAGUGCUGACCUGUGAAGGACACAUAAUAUAUUACAAGCACUGUUCGUGCUUCUUUUGAAAACAUAUUUUAUUUCUGAGUUCCUUUCCUGAAGUAUAGGAUAUUUAGUUCCUGCAGCUGGGGGUUCUUAUUUCACUUGUUUGAUCAUAUGAAGAACUUCUGGUGAUGUUACAGAUGAAUUGCUCAAACGAUUUAGUAACUGUGUCUGCUAAUAUGUUGCAUGUUUGGAACAUACACUUUGCCACAGUGCCCAUAGUAACACAAGUCUGUAGCUACUGAAAACUUGUGCAGCCUUUGCUGUACUUACUUUUGCCGGCGAUACUGAGGCAACUUUUCGUAUGUUAGCCAUAAAAGUUUUAAUGUAGAUGAGCAUUCAAAAUUAAGUUAUGUAAAGCUAGUAUAAAUGUAAUUACCACUGUAUGAUAAAUCUGCAAAAAGCCUCAUUGUUCACGCCACUUUGCUGUGCAAGCAUGUACACUUACCCUACGCAUCUCUUGAGCACGCAGUCAAGGGACCUUGGAACGGUUUUUCAUUGAUAUGCUGGAUAUGGAACAGGGAACGUAUUGCAGGAAGUGUUUUCUACUAGUUCACAUUAUGUGCAGAGCUACAGAAGUUUCUCUUCAACCUUCUCUCUAAAACCAGCGGGAGACUGACUUAUGUCCCAGUGCUGUAUUUUCCUUUCUGAAUGGAGUAUUGAGGUUUGCAGCAGUUGCUUUAUUUUUUGUGCUAUAAAGAAAUGAAACCGCUAAGCGGUGAGUUCAGAUUGCAUAAUGUCACAGCCAACUCUUAGUGCUUGAGAUCUCUGGAAAGCAAGGUUGAAAAUUCACUUCCUUCUUUAAAGCUUUGGAGCACAGUAGAAUGCUGAUUAGACACACUGUAUGGAGUCAGCUCUUGUUGUGCAAGUAGCAACUUCAUUUCUUCCAACCAGGGCUGUACUUAUGCUUUAUUCCUGUCCAUCUGACCACUGGCCUUGUCUAUUUCCUAGUAUAAAUGUUUUGUGCUCUUUUUUAUAGCUCUCCUUAAAGUGUAGUUUCUGCAUUAAACUCCAUAACUUGUUGAGGUUCCAUGCAGAAACUAUAUAUUUGACUGUUGAAUUUUGGCCAUGACAUUGCACUUGAAACACUGACCCAUGCUCCUCUCAGUGUACAAGACACUUUUGUUUAUCCUUCUUGUGAAAUGUUAGAAUUUAUGGAAUGAUCAGCUCCUUUUUUUCUUGGCAUCAUGUUGUGGCAGGAGAACUCCUGCUACAGCAUUAGCAUCAUUGCUUUUUAUUGUAUCUGUGCUGCAAGACAUAUUCUAGUGUAUUUCUGGUCACCAUGUCUGUCUUCAUACAAUGUACAGGACUUGUCCAUUGUGGCCAAUUCGUACCAAUUUUUCUGGUUGUGUUCAGAGCCUUUAAUAUUAAAUUUUCAUUGCUUGUUUGAUAAAGAAUUUAAAAAUUAAUUUGGAGUUCGUCUGCACCUAAUUUAUAUUUUUUAAUGCAGUAUUUUGUUACUUGCUUUUUUCUUCUUCUUCUUCUUUUCGGUUCAUACCUCAUCAGUUACACAGGCCAUAGAGAUGUCGGCAAAUAAGAGAAGUGAGAGUGCACUCACUUGUGGGAAGGCAUGCGUAGAUGAAUUUAAUUUUCUAUUAUUGCAUUGGUUUUGCCAAUAAGCUUCUAAAGUUUUAAGAGACAACAUGCAACUUUUGAGAACAUGUAUCUUUAUUUGCAUAUUGCUAUUAUGUGAGUACAUUUAAUUAAUUUUAAGUUGAUGAAACAAGGCCAUUUCUUUUCUGAAAGAUUUUUCACUGUUACUCGUGACUCUACAGUUUUAGAAAAUAAUUCAGUUCAUUGUGUGAAGCCAAAUAAGCUGCAUAAUAUCUUUACGUGGAAAAUUUCUGCAAAAGAACAAGCAAGCUGACUAUAAAAAUACUAUGGUUGUUUGUGCGUGUAUGCACAAAAAAUCACUACAAAUCGAGCUUGAAUAAUAUUUUUUAGUUUUGAUGCAUCUUUCUGCACUUCUCACAGUGUGGAAAGGGUGCUGCCCUUUUCUGUGUAGUCAUCUUGUGUUCAUUGUAGCUUAUGUCAAAACUGAAGUUCAUGGCAGACGUGUAUAAAUAAUGAUUGGUAGGAAGUGCAUAAAUAUUGUACCCUGACAUGGGCAUCAAAGGAUGUUUUCACCUUGUGUAGCCACAUUAGUGAUUUAUGUGGUUCGUUUUUAUGACAUCCAUUUUGGAAAUCUUCACACUAACAACCAUAUUAAGAGUUAAGUAAUAUCGCUAGCAUCUCAUGAUAAUAUGAAUAAUUAGCGAUAAUGCAAGGCAGGUAUUCCUCCAUUUAUAUUAUGUUAUUGUGUCAAGCCAAAUUCCUCACAGUUGUUACAAUUUAGUUAACUAUGUAUGCUUUGAAUUUUUAAGUGUGUUGCAGACAAGCUGUAAGUAACACAAAAAUAAUUUUAAGAAAGGUGGCACCAUAAGUGUUAAAGAAUCUGCUGGAUUUCUUGUUCCCCAUGUGUUGGCACAACUCAUUGUAUUGAAUAUACCUUGAAUAUUCCUAUUUUGUCCUGGCAUACUGCUUUCUACGAGCCGAUGGAAUCUCAUUCUCUGUUAUGCUGCUCUGGAUUCUCAACUGCAGUAUCGCAGGAUGAGUCACAUCACCUCUGAUUUCUCUUGAAACUUAACCCUUUCUUUACCACUGAUGUGUAUAGUCGGCGCUGGAAUUUGUACCAAUAUAGCCAGUGAUGAGUAUAACCGUCAGUCAUGAGGCUACGUUUCUGGAAAUUUCUGGGAAAUUUGGCACAUUUUUUGGUCAUUUCCUGCUGUACAGAAAGGGUUAACAUGCAUUUUUUGUGCACUUGAACGUAAAUAGCAUUGAAUUUAUUUCAUUACUUGCAACUUUGUCACAAGUAUGUAGCUCAAGGUUCAGCAGUAGUUAUCUCAACAGACAUUACCCCCCAAAAAACUGAAAUUUUGAUGUCAAGCAAAGAUGGAUACAGCAGUGAUUUAUGUUCUUGUGCCUUCUUUAUUUUAUAGGUGGGGAAUUCUAUAGCCUCGUAGAAAGUGAAGUUUGUUAGUCAGUGAUAAAACAAUUAACUUGUCCAUAGCACAUCAGUGCACAGUAGCAUUCUUUUAAUCACGAAUUCAUUGGUUGUCAGUAUGUUUUCAUUGCCAUCUUGUGAAGGCAUAGGCUGUCUGUGAUAAGAGAACAAGGCUCCAUUCCUGCAUUUUGGUUUGUGUAAUUAUGUAAUUUGUGUUGCUUUUCUUUUUUUUUUUUAGUUUGCUCUGUGAACCUUUGUGCAUUUAUAAUGCCUUAGAUUUAUUAAACCAAACUGAGUCUCAUGUUGUCACAUGCUGUAACUUUUGUAUGCUGCCUAAUAAAAUAAAAAAAAUCUUGAAGACGUAGUAGUUUUUAUUUGUCCUUGUGAGUCACUUAUUGGGCAAAAAUUUAAUGUCAUAUACCUUGGCCAACUUGUUUUGAGGCCUCUUGAACUAAAUGAGAUGGUGUGCAUUCUUCUCAUUUUACUUAGUGGGGUUUAUUUUGUGGCUGGAAGGACCUUGUUUCUUUUUGCAUGACCAUUUAAUCUUGAGGAAGGCACAUUAUACAGUUCCCAGUUGCACUUGUGAGAGUUUGCAUGGAAUCGGUACAGCAUUGCCAGCAUCACAUCACACGAUGCAUGGAAAUAAUUGUGUGUGCUGGCCUUGGUUGCAUGCACAGUUCAUGACUUGUAGGUACAUGGUCAUUGUGGACAUGUGUGUGGAAAGUCUGCAUGACUUCCUUUAGUGUGCCUUUGUGAGCACAAAUGAAAACCAAAUUUCAAAUUUUUUUAAAACACUGAACAUGGAAAAGCAGUUGCUUUCUUUUUUUUAAAGUAUCAUGUCUUUUAAGCGGUCUGCUUGCUCUAUAAACAAGCCAGAGGUUUCUUUCUGCACUACAAUGGUUGCAAUGCAUGCUUGUAUGACUCUUUACACUACUAUGGUGAAAACCAGAACUUUCCAGUGCUUCUGUCUUCAUUACACAGCAUGCUCUGUAUGUCUUCAAAGCCCCGAGUUCCUACCUCUGCAGUUUACUGUUUCUGCUGAGGCACUGGACAUAUGGGCGACAUUACUAUUAUGCAAGCCUUUCAGAAUACUUUGCCAUAGCUUGUCAAUGAAAUAUUUGUCAUGUAAGUGCACCUUUUGUUUUUUUUUGUGAUUGUCAGCCGAAAUCUUUUUGUUAUUGCACAUUCUAGUUUCUUGUACAUGUUCUUUUCAGUUAGCAAUACUUUUUUGGGUUUUUGACGCACUGUGCAUUUCGUCCUUUUGCCAGCAUCUUUAAGUCUGUGCACUUUUUAAUCUGCUUUUCUUAUUCUUCAGCCUACCACUGAUGCUUUCAUUUGCUUUAUUGUUAUGGUGGGCUUUCGUUCUACUUUGCACUUUUUUUUAUUUUAAAGUACUGCUAUGUGGCAGUACUUUACAAUUAUGUUUAUGUUAGUGUUCCUGUUCUUCGUGCAUGUUAAAACACAAUUUGUUGGAUUGACACAUUUACUAGUUUGCUAAUUAAUGAUACAGGCAUUGUUACUAUCAAAUUGCAUGAUCAUAACAAUGUCAGCUUACCCGCCUUAUUAUGAAGAAGCCAUAUUGAUUGAUUUAAGAGAUAUAUAUAUAUAUUUGCCACUGUAUGCUUACCACACUGAUAGUUAAAUUAUAGUUGCAUGCAUGUAUCUUAAUUGUCAAUAGUAUGUUAUUUUAUUUAGAGAGUGUUGCAGUGGCUCUACAGUAUGCGCAUGAUACAAAAACAUUUAAUGGCAGUGCAUGGGCAAGUUUUAGACAAAUGCUUCUUUUUUAAGUUCUUCUUUUUAAGCUUUUCCAGCAUGUCAAAGAUCUUGUACAAAGCUGUGUAUUUUUGCAAUUCUGUAUUGAAUGAAUUUUGAGAAAUCGACAUCUUAAGCUCUCUGCAUGAUCAUAGAGUAUGCGUCAUGAUGUUGAUUUGUUUGCUGCCCGAUAGCACGAGAAGCUGAUAGAUGCCUGUUGAUGCAUAGUUUUAUUCUUUAUUUUAUUUUUUAUUUUUUGCACUAAGGUGGAUGGUAAUUGUUUUAACCUGAGAAAAGCGGUGUUAAUUUAAGCAAAGUAAAGAGUGUUAUCGCAUGCAUAGCAGGUGUGGCGGCGCUGCUGUUUGAUUUUUAUGUAUAGUGCUUUAUUAAAAAAUUGGAGCCUUUAACAGCUGUUUAUCUAAUCAGACCAUUUUCUGUUUCUUUAAGUCCUCAUUUUGAUGCAAUUAAAAUGGUUUAAGCUUUCUUAAAGGCCUGCCUCAUAUGUUGCAUGUCAUGUCUUUUGUCUAGAGUUUAGUGCCUUUUUUUUUUCAGUAACAACAAAACAGCUUGUUUACCCUUAUUACAUUAAAAAAAGUAAGAUAAUAUUUGUUAAAACUGAACAACAAAUGUAGAACAAGAAAUGUCACUGGAGCCAUUGUUUCUACAUGUUUCCUUAUCGAAACAUUGGCUGCAGUAACAUUCCUUGUUUGACAAUUGUCAUUCACCUAAAGCCUCCGUCUCCCUGUGAACUUCUGUCUUUUUUGUUAUAUUGGGUUUCAAGGAUUGAGAAACAGUUGUCGGUUUGUGUGUACAGCAACAAUGCCGCGUAGAUUUCUGCUUGAUGCUUUUUAUAUUGCAGAGACUGGAAAACCAAGUAGGGUAGGGUACAAGUGUGUUUUCAAGAGCACAAGCGAAAUAAUGUCUUUUUAUUCACCCCUCUAGGUUCCUCUCACCCUGUACUGCUUCAGCAACUGUCUGGCAAGGAACCUCUUCCUAGCAGUGGCGGCAGCAACAGCAGCAGCAGCAGCAGCACCACUACCAAAGCAGGAGGAUGCCCACUGUUCACUUGUGAACUCUGUGGCCAAUCUAUGACACAUGCUUACAGCAUGCAGCGACAUCGACGCCAGCACUUGACCCAGCCCAAGUCCUUUGCUUGUGAUGUGUGUGGUCGUAGGUACAACCGUAGAGACAAUAUGCUUGUACAUUGCCGGACUCAUUAUUCAUGACAAGGAGGAAUGGUGUGCAGUGUUUGAUAGUGGAGAAUUUUUUCACAACUAUAAAAGCGUCAUUGCAGUA